AGAGUUUGAUCAUGGCUCAGGACGAACGCUGGCGGCGUGCCUAAUACAUGCAAGUCGAGCGGACGAAUCGAAAGCUUGCUUUUGAUUCGUUAGCGGCGGACGGGUGAGUAACACGUGGGCAACCUGCCCUGUAGACGGGGAUAACACCGAGAAAUCGGUGCUAAUACCGGAUAACACGAAAUGUCGCAUGACGUUUCGUUGAAAGACGGCGCAAGCUGUCGCUACAGGAUGGGCCCGCGGCGCAUUAGCUAGUUGGUGAGGUAACGGCUCACCAAGGCGACGAUGCGUAGCCGACCUGAGAGGGUGAUCGGCCACACUGGGACUGAGACACGGCCCAGACUCCUACGGGAGGCAGCAGUAGGGAAUCUUCCGCAAUGGACGAAAGUCUGACGGAGCAACGCCGCGUGAGCGAAGAAGGCCUUCGGGUCGUAAAGCUCUGUUGUUAGGGAAGAACAAGUAACGCAGUAACUGGCGUUAUCGUGACGGUACCUAACGAGAAAGCCACGGCUAACUACGUGCCAGCAGCCGCGGUAAUACGUAGGUGGCAAGCGUUGUCCGGAAUUAUUGGGCGUAAAGCGCGCGCAGGCGGUUCCUUAAGUCUGAUGUGAAAGCCCACGGCUCAACCGUGGAGGGUCAUUGGAAACUGGGGGGACUUGAGUGCAGAAGAGGAGAGCGGAAUUCCACGUGUAGCGGUGAAAUGCGUAGAGAUGUGGAGGAACACCAGUGGCGAAGGCGGCUCUCUGGUCUGUAACUGACGCUGAGGCGCGAAAGCGUGGGGGAGCAAACAGGAUUAGAUACCC
rnacentral:rRNA from 1 species